ensembl:lncRNA
AACCCUUAAAAUAGGACAAAUGAGUUAAAUUUAGUGUGUGAGGCAGUUGAUCCACAUGUUUAGGAUGAAGCAAACUGUGUUGUGACUGCCAGGUAUAGUUAAAAAACACUUAAACACAUAUACACAUACACGUUAUCUUUUGUCAGAGACCUUGUUAAUGAUUUGUUGUCUGACAAAUAAAUGAAUCAUUAUGUACCAUAUUAAAUUGCAUAGAAUUAUAUUCUUUUGCAUCGCAUCUCGUUGAAUCGCAUCGUGUCGAAUCGCACUGCAUCGCAAUAGGGGUGUAUCGUAUCGCAUUAGUAGCUGCUUUUAUGUAUCUUUAAUGUAUCGGAUCGUUGGCAGUGUAUCGAGAUAUGUAUCGCAUCGUCUUCAGUGAUGGAGAUGCAAAUCCCUAAUAGCUAGAGUUGGAUAUGCUUGUUGUUUAGAUCUGCACCGCUGAAUCCGGAGUAUGUUCCACGUGCUUCAAUGCUACCCUUUACUGGAAUAAAGACAGAUUGCUGCAUCAACCACAAAGAAACUUGCUUUUCUCUUACAACAUCUUUCAUGAAAUCGGGAUAAAUUACCCAAUGCCUUGUGAAUGUGGCUGAAGGCUAAAUUCUCAUCAGCACAUACUCCCCAGUAUUUGGGCCUCAAGUUCUUUUUUUGGUAUUACAACCCUGAAAAUAGCAUUCUUUGAAAUCUCUGUCUGGUCACUACUCCUUCUCUGUCUUCUGCUUCUACAUGAAUACUACUGAUUCAUUAUGACUGUGUGGAAAUUCAAAAACAUAAAUUGUACAACGCACUUUGGAAAUAAUUGUUGUUGAACAAUUACCAGAAAAAAGUAUGGACUAAUGUGACAAAGCUGUGGCAGGUGCUUUGAUCAGUGUAUCUGUGAAAGUGACCUGUUGGUGCAUGUCAAUAAAAUCACUGAAUCAGAGAAAGAAAAAGAAACUUAAAGGUUCAGGUACACUUUUGGUCAAAUUUAGCAACUUGCUCCUCACAGUCUUCUAGCUGUCUGUUCAGGGUGUGUCCUCAAAAUAAUUCCGGUGUUCGUAAAGUCUUGGCCCUGCAAAUGGGAAACAAUCAGUGCCAGUGUGAUUUGAUCAUCAACCUCUUGUCAGAAUCACCGACUACAACUUUUAAUGCUUUACAUUAGCAAAAAUAAAUAUGUGUACUAAUUUGUAUUGCAAAAAGGCAAAUCUAUGGUAACCGUCUCUCUUUCUCUUUUUACCCACAACCUCUUCCCC